CGUGCCAGCAGCCGCGGUAAGACAGAGGGUGCAAACGUUGCUCGGAAUUACUGGGCGUAAAGGGCGCGUAGGCGGCUCUGUAAGUCAGGCGUUGAAAUUCCCGGGCUCAACCUGGGGACUGCGCUUGAGACUGUGGGGCUAGAGGAUGGAAGAGGGUCGUGGAAUUCCCAGUGUAGAGGUGAAAUUCGUAGAUAUUGGGAAGAACACCGGUGGCGAAGGCGGCGACCUGGUCCAUUACUGACGCUGAGGCGCGACAGCGUGGGGAGCAAACAGGAUUAGAUACCCUGGUAGUCCACGCCGUAAACGAUGUGCGCUGGAUGUUGGGGCCCUUAGGGUCUCAGUGUCGUAGCUAACGCGGUAAGCGCACCGCC
rnacentral:rRNA from 1 species